rnacentral:rRNA from 1 species
UACGGAGGGUGCAAGCGUUAUCCGGAUUCACUGGGUUUAAAGGGUGCGUAGGUGGGUUGGUAAGUCAGUGGUGAAAUCUCUUUGCUUAACAAAGAAACUGCCAUUGAUACUGCAGGUCUAGAGUAUAGAUGACGUUGGCGGAAUAUGACAUGUAGUGGUGAAAUACUUAGAUAUGUCAUAGAACACCGAUUGCGAAGGCAGCUAACGAAACUAUAACUGACGCUGAGGCACGAAAGUGCGGGGAUCAAACAGG